UACGAAGGGUGCAAACGUUGCUCGGAAUCAUUGGGCGUAAAGCGCACGUAGGCGGCUUCGAAAGUCGGAUGUGAAAUCCCUCGGCUCAACCGAGGACGUGCAUCCGAAACUUCGAGGCUUGAGUACAGAAGAGGAUCGCGGAAUUCCCGGUGUAGAGGUGAAAUUCGUAGAUAUCGGGAGGAACACCAGUCGGCGAAGGCGGCAUCCUGGACCGGUAUUGACGCUGAGGCGCGAAAGCCAGGG
rnacentral:rRNA from 1 species